GAGACAGCAGUAGCCGCGGGAAUACGUAGGGUGCGAGCGUUAAUCGGAAUUACUGGGCGUAAAGCGUGCGCAGGCGGUUGUGUAAGACAGGUGUGAAAUCCCCGGGCUUAACCUGGGAACUGCGCUUGUGACUGCACAGCUAGAGUAUGGCAGAGGGGGGUGGAAUUCCACGUGUAGCAGUGAAAUGCGUAGAGAUGUGGAGGAACACCGAUGGCGAAGGCAGCCCCCUGGGCCAAUACUGACGCACAUGCACGAAAGCGUGGGGAGCAAACAGGAUUAGAUACCCGCGUAGUCCCUGUCUCUUAUAC
rnacentral:rRNA from 1 species